rnacentral:misc_RNA from 1 species
AUAUAUCAACCUCUUUAAAUUUUGAGAGUGUUUGGAUGUGGGGGUGUUAUUUUGCUGGCCUUUCUCCAAGGUCAGCUCCCCUGAAAUGUAUUAGCGGAACAAUUUGUUGACCGUUCAUUGGUGUGAUAGCAUAUCUACGCUAUUGACGUGAAGCAAGUUCAGCUUAUAACAGUCCAUUGACUUGGACAAUUCUCUAUUUAUUA